rnacentral:rRNA from 1 species
CCAGCAGCCGCGGUAAUACGGAGGAUGCAAGCGUUAUCCGGAAUUAUUGGGCGUAAAGCGUCCGCAGGUGGCUGUUCAAGUCUGCUGUUAAAGCGUGCAGCUUAACUGCAUAUCGGCAGUGGAAACUGAAGAGCUAGAGUUCGGUAGGGGUAGCGGGAAUUCCCAGUGUAGCGGUGAAAUGCGUAGAUAUUGGGAAGAACACCAGCGGCGAAAGCGCGCUACUGGGCCGAGACUGACACUGAGGGACGAAAGCUAGGGGAGCGAAAGGGAUUAGAUACCCCUGUAGUCCUAGCUGUAAACGAUGGGUACUAGGUGUUGCGCGUAUCGACCCGUGCAGUGCCGUAGCUAACGCGUUAAGUACCCCGCCUGGGGAGUACGCACGCAAGUGUGAAACUCAAAGGAAUUGACGGGGGCCCGCACAAGCGGUGGAGUAUGUGGUUUAAUUCGAUGCAACGCGAAGAACCUUACCAGGGCUUGACAUCCCGCGAACCUUGAUGAAAGUCGAGGGUGCCUUCGGGAGCGCGGAGACAGGUGGUGCAUGGCUGUCGUCAGCUCGUGUCGUGAGAUGUUGGGUUAAGUCCCGCAACGAGCGCAACCCACGUCCUUAGUUGCCAGCAUUCAGUUGGGCACUCUGGGGAGACUGCCGGUGACAAACCGGAGGAAGGUGUGGAUGACGUCAAGUCAUCAUGCCCCUUACGUCCUGCGCUACACACGUACUACAAUGCUAUGGACAGAGAGUUGCGAGCCCGCGAGGGUGAGCCAAUCUCAUAAACCAUGGCUCAGUUCAGAUUGCAGGCUGCAACUCGCCUGCAUGAAGGCGGAAUCGCUAGUAAUCGCAGGUCAGCAUACUGCGGUGAUACGUUCCCGGGCCUUGUACACACCGCCCGUC